UACGUAGGGGGGCGAGCGUUGUCCGGAUUUAUUGGGCGUAAAGAGCGUGUAGGCGGCCAGGUAGGUCUGCUGUGAAAACUCGAGGCUCAACCUCGAGACGUCGGCGGAAACCAUCUGGCUAGAGUCCGGAAGAGGAGAGUGGAAUUCCUGGUGUAGCGGUGAAAUGCGUAGAUAGUCGAGAGGAACACCUGCGGCGAAGGCGGGUUGCUGGGCUGACACUGACGCUGAACUGCGAAAGCUAGGGGAGCGAACGGG
rnacentral:rRNA from 1 species